GGUUGAGGCCACACCGCCUGAUUCACGCCCGAUCUCGUUUGAUCUCGGAAGAUAAGAUAGGUUGGGCCUGGUUAGUACUUGGAUGGGAGAGACCGCCUGGGAAUACCAGGUGCUGUAAGCC
rnacentral:rRNA from 1 species